CUCUGUGUAUCCAAAUUUCCUCUUAUAAGGACACCAGUCACACUGGAUUAGCGUCCACUCAAAUGACCUCAUUUUAACUUAAUCAUCCUUAAAGGCCUUACCUCCAAAUACGGCCCCAUUUUGAGAUACUGGGGGUUCAGGCUUCAACAUAGGAAUUAGAGGGGACACAAGGCAACCCAUCACAAUCACCAAGCCUCAGUGUCCAUGGGGGUGAAAUAUACUCUGCUGCUGUUGGGCACCGCAGAGCCACGCGGCAGGAGAGAGUACAGAAUUGACAGCAACAAUCCACCUAUCAAAGUGAGGUGCUAUCUCCAUUUUUAUAGAUAAAGAAACGGGCCCAAAGACCAGCCCCAGGCCAUACCACAUAUCUAGGAAGCCGCAUCAAGGGGUGCCUUAACGCCAACGCCUCAGACAAAUCCAGGUCUCUUUGCUGCCCUGGAGCGUGGCUGCUCCACCUUUUUCUUGUUCUCAACCCCCAGGCUCUGGACCUGUCUCUGUCCUCAGGACCAUGCACGUGGAAAUUCUGCUGCCGGAGCUGCCAGCCCAUAACUUUUGGGAUAAACUCUCCCAUCAGGUGUCCAGUGACAGCUGCCAGUGGGUGCCAGGCUAACAGGGUAUUUGUGUUCCAGGUCUUGCUGUGUUCAGUGCGGCUUGGGUCAUACUUGGUCUUCUUGGGCAAUGACAAAGGUGGCUUUUAGUUAGGGAAGGAAGACAGCCUCAGAAGGGAGAAGCCUAUCAGUAUUUCAAGCCCCAGGCGAUGUGAAAAACUGAGCCUUUGUUUGGGAGUGUCAGCCCCCAGGACUUGCGUGUUUCUGCCCUGAAGCGUUUUCUGCUUUCUGAAGGCUGCAGUUCUCUUCCUCGUUUUAUUGACUGCCUACGUGCCAGGGGCUUUGUGAAUAUUACCGCACUGAAAUUCCCAAUACCCAGCAAGAAGGCAUUAUUAUCCUUAUUUUACAGAUGAGAAAAUAGAGAUUAAACAACUUACUUAACUGUUUGAACUCCGUGGGGCACAAACAUGAAAUGAUUCUAUUUUUUCUCCAGAUCUUUUUAGAGAUUUAUACCAAAUCUCCUUUUCAUAAUUCCAUAGCUUUUUGGUUGUUUUUAGGUAUUAAAAAACCCCUAUGGUCCAGUCCACUUUCUUUUCAAAGCCUCAAAUCUUGAAUCCGAUAUCAUAUCC
rnacentral:lncRNA from 1 species